rnacentral:rRNA from 1 species
CGGCAACAGCUCAAAUUUGAAAUCUGGCUCUUUCAGGGUCCGAGUUGUAAUUUGCAGAGGGCGCUUUGGCGUUGGCAGCGGUCCAAGUUCUUUGGAACAGGACGUCACAGAGGGUGAGAAUCCCGUACGUGGUCGCUAGCCUUCGCCGUGUAAAGCCCCUUCGACGAGUCGAGUUGUUUGGGAAUGCAGCUCUAAAUGGGAGGUAAAUUUCUUCUAAAGCUAAAUACUGGCCAGAGACCGAUAGCGCACAAGUAGAGUGAUCGAAAGAUGAAAAGCACUUUGGAAAGAGAGUCAAAUAGCACGUGAAAUUGUUGAAAGGGAAGCGCUUGCAGCCAGACUUGCCUGUAGUUGCUUAUCCGGACUUUUGUCCGGUGCACUCUUCUGCGGGCAGGCCAGCAUCAGUUUGGGCGGUUGGAUAAAGGUCUCUGUCAUGUACCUCCUUUCGGGGAGGCCUUAUAGGGGAGACGACAUGCAACCAGCCUGGACUGAGGUCCGCGCAUCUGCUAG